UAGGGAAAGUGGGGUGGGUAGGGGUUAGAGAGGCGAUUAGGGUUCGGGUGAGGGCUAAGGUCAAGAUGUAAAGCGGUUAGGCCGAAAGUAAAGGGAGUCACGAGCGGGGAGAGGUUUCGUGUAAGACUGGGUUGGGUUGAACGGUUCACCAGCUCGGGGAUGUGGUGCGCACGUGGUCUGUUACCUUGUUUCUCUCACGUGUUCCUCACGUGACUCGCGUUUCAGCUUUCAAGCCACUAUUUUACUCAAGUAAAUAAAAAUUGUAAAAUUUACUCUUUAUCUUGUGUUUACAUUAUUAAUUAUAACUUUCAAUGAUGAAAAAUAAUAUAUUACAUUUGGUGCAGGAUCACAAGGAAUCAAUUAAAGAAUUCAAGUAGCAAUAUCAGUCAGGAAUAAAUCAAGGAAAUAAUCUAUUUACGGGGCUCUAAUGUGGCGCAAGGAAAAGAAUCAAUGAUUAGCAAUCAAAAAGGAAGAAGUAGCGGAGAUCUGAAAGAAGAAUCAAUCAGUGAUUGACGGAAACCAUUGCUGGAAGGUCCCAAAUCAAAGGGAAACGAGACCGCAAAAUGAUACACUGAAAACCAAUGAAGCCAAAAAUCAAGGGAUCUAGCGGAUAUGCCUCAAGUAACAAAAAUAUAUGCCUAGCAGAUGGAAAGCUCGCCAAGACCAUAAAUCUAGGAAGAUCAACGAAAACUUGACAUAAAUCUAGGAAGAUCAACUCCCUUGAGUUUGCAAUCUCUCAAGAUUCACGUCAUGAAGGCCUCAUGGAAUGUAUAUAUACAUGCUCCGAACUUGAAGAAAGACAUACUUUGAACGAACUAUUUUCACUCCUUUUGUUCUACUCCAAACAAGCAUUAUUGUUCUUAAAGAUCUGUUGUGUAAUUAGUGAGAGAAGAAAAAGAGAUAAAUACUGGUGAGGCAUUGUAUCAAGAAGAGAAAAGAUAUAUCGAAAUUAAGUUGUUGGUGUAAAGCUACAUCAACCAUCAUGUACUCAAGAAACUUCGAUCACUCAAAGAGGUAAUUGAGUAUAUAUUAAUGGAUUGAUAUUAUUAUUGGCUAGCUUUGGAG
rnacentral:lncRNA from 1 species